UGGCGGACGGGUGAGUAAUGUCUGGGAAACUGCCCGAUGGAGGGGGAUAACUACUGGAAACGGUAGCUAAUACCGCAUAACGUCGCAAGACCAAAGAGGGGGACCUUCGGGCCUCUUGCCGUCGGAUGUGCCCAGAUGGGAUUAGCUAGUAGGUGGGGUAAAGGCUCACCUAGGCGACGAUCCCUAGCUGGUCUGAGAGGAUGACCAGCCACACUGGAACUGAGACACGGUCCAG
rnacentral:rRNA from 1 species